rnacentral:lncRNA from 1 species
AGCGUGCACUGGGCGCUCCUCGGCGCGUCUACCCGGCCCGUCUCGGCUUUCCUUCUCCUCCCUCUAGUCCCAGCGUCACAACUCCGCCGACCUCCUCUGCCCUGAGAGCGCGUCCGGUGCGGGCGGAGUCGGACGGACUCGGGCUUCACGCCUCGCGCGGGCACCCCUUCUCCCGGGCAGUGCGGCCCAGUUCUUAGGGGAGGCAGAGUCCUUCUGGAGUUUGACCCUUGGAUUCCAUCCAGAGCAGCCUCCAAAAUGACACCUUUGAAGUUGUGUAUCGAGCUGGGGGAUGUAAAGGGAGGAGAAGAAAGAAGAUGAAGAGAUACCAGCCAGCCUUGAGGAGUAGACAUCCUGCCUGGUGAAACUGAACAAGACACUGACCGCAUAUGGAGUUUUGCUCUGUCACCCAGGCUGGAGUGCAGUUGUGCCAUCUCGGCUCACCGCAACCUCCACCUCCAGGUUCAAGUGAUUCUCCUGCCUCAGCCUCUCAAGUAGCUGGGAUUACAGGAGCCCUCUCCCACCGCUCCUACACUGCUGGUAAAAGGCAGCCACACUGCCUGCUGGAAGACCUGC